GACGAACGCUGGCGGCGUGCUUAACACAUGCAAGUCGAACGGAGUGGCGAACGGGUGAGUAAUACGUGGGUAACCUGUCCUCCUUUUUGGGAUAAGCCUUGGAAACGGGGUCCAACACAGAAUAAAGGGGGAUGGGCUUGGGGCCUAUCAGGUUGUUGGGGGGGUGUUGGCCGACCAAGGGGGUGACGGGUAGCAGGCGUGAGAGGGUGACCGGACAGAGUGGGCGUGAGAUACGGCUCAGACACGUACGGGAGGCAGCAGUGGGGGAUCUUGCGCAAUGGGCGAAAGCCGGGUGCAGCGACGCCGCGUGGGGGAUGAAGGCUUUCGGGUUGUAAACGUGUUUCGCAAUCGAACGGGUAGGUGCAGAAGAAGCACCGGCUAACUACGUGCCAGCAGCCGCGGUAAUAC
rnacentral:rRNA from 1 species